AUUUUCGUAGUUGAGACAACAAUAACUUUUCACGUUAUAGGCUUAGGUUAAAACCCUAACGGGAAUC
rnacentral:tRNA from 1 species